CUGCAUUUAAGUUUCCAGCCUUUUUCACAAAGUUGCCGACAACUGGAAGAAUGUCCCAAAUUGCUGCAAAAAGAAAUUCAAUUGAGUAAUUUUCACUCUAGAGACCCUGGGGUGACCACCAAGGACGAAUGCAAACUCCAGUGAGUGUCUCUAAGGUAGAUCCUAAUGCAGAUGGAUGGAAUGUUGAUCCGCCUAACAUGCAAGGUAAAAGAGCAUUUGAUAGCAUAGUGGAUAAACAAAGCUUUUUUCAUUUUCAGAGCAUUUUCAAAAACAACAUAACACUUGCUAUUACAUUGUUAUAUAUUACAUGACCAUGUCUAACUCUGAUCCAUACAAAACAGAUUUUCUGUACCGAGAACUUUGGAUGACCACGUUUUCAAAAAUCUGACCUCAAUUUUAGUAACCAUUUAGAUAUUUUAGAUGUAGUCCGAGAGCUUGCUGACCCUCCAUUAAAAAUGUAUGUACGGUAUACUGUUCAUGUCCA